CCCUUGGAUGAUGAAGAGUUGAUUUCAUAUAUUCUUACCAGCCUUGACAUCGAGUUUAAUCCAAUUGUCUCGGCCAUUGUUGCAAGAGUGGAGCCUAUCACUAUGACUGAGCUCUAUGCGCAACUUCCCAGCUUUGAGA